rnacentral:rRNA from 1 species
AUGCUUUCCUCCUUUGGGAACGCCAUAUGCUUGGUAACCAACUGUGCUAAGAGUCUGGUCGUGCCGAUCCGAUGUGAGGGCGUUGAUCUUGAUGACGUCUUGCAGUCUUUCCCGGCCUGCAGCUCUUCCUUCCCCAUCCGGUAUCUUGGUCUACCGCUUGCAAUCAAAAGGUUGAGGAGGGUCCACUUGCAGCACUUAGAAGAUAAAGCCGUAGGGAAGCUUGCGCCAUGGAGGGGGAGGCAUGUUGCUAUUGCGGGCCGAAUGACCCUUGUACAAGCGGUCCUUACGAUUGUGGCCAUCUACCAUCUUACACCGCUUGACCUUCCGGUGGAGAUGCUUAGGAAUAUUGAAUCCUUGCGGUGCGCCUAUUUUUGGGCUGGCUCAGACAAGGUGUCUGGUGGCAAGUGUAAAAUCAAUUGGGACCUAGUCUGCAAGCCUAAGGAGUUUGGGGGCCUCAGAAUUCUUAACCUAGUAAAGUACGCUACAGCUCUGCGCUUAAGGUGGCUUUGGCUUGAAUGGGAUCACCCUCCGAGAGCUUGGUUUGGCUUGGGAACUCCGUGCAACAAUAAGGAUCGGGACAUCUUUGCGGCAGCCACUAAGGUUACAAUUGGGGAUGGCACAACAUCAAGAUUUUUGGGAGUCAUCUUGGCUUGA